UCAUCAUUUCCCACACUCUCUCACCGGUCAGAGAGGCGAGAGAGUGCGGGGAAAUGAAGAGA
rfam:Pristionchus pacificus strain PS312 contig7500, whole genome shotgun sequence.